GGGAUUGCCCUAGUAACGGCGAGUGAAGCGGCAAUAGCUCAAAUUUGAAAUCUGGGUCCUUUUAGGGCUCCGAGUUGUAAUUUGCAGAGGGUGCUUUGGCGUAGGUAGCGGUCUAAGUUCCUUGGAACAGGACAUCGCAGAGGGUGAGAAUCCCGUUUGUGGUCGCAUGCCUUCGCCGUGUAAAGCCCCUUCGACGAGUCGAGUUGUUUGGGAAUGCAGCUCUAAAUGGGAGGUAAAUUUCUUCUAAAGCUAAAUACUGGCCAGAGACCGAUAGCGCACAAGUAGAGUGAUCGAAAGAUGAAAAGCACUUUGGAAAGAGAGUCAAACAGCACGUGAAAUUGUUGAAAGGGAAGCGCUUGCAGCCAGACUUGCCCGUAGUUGCUCACCUAGGCUUUUGCCUGGGGCAUUCUUCUGCGGGCAGGCCAGCAUCAGUUUGGGCGGUCGGAUAAAGGUCUCUGUCAUGUAGCUUCCUUCGGGAAGAACUUAUAGGGGAGGCGAAAUGCGACCAGCCCGGACUGAGGUCCGCGCUUCGGCUAGGAUGCUGGCGUAAUGGCUGUAAGCGGCCCGUCUUGAAACACGGACCAAGGAGUCUAACAUCUAUGCGAGUGUUUGGGUGUCAAGCCCGAGCGCGUAAUGAAAGUGAACGGAGGUGGGAACCCUUUGGGUGCACCAUCGACCGAUCCUGAUGUCUUCGGAUGGAUUUGAGUAAGAGCAUAGCUGUUGGGACCCGAAAGAUGGUGAACUAUGCUUGAAUAG
rnacentral:rRNA from 1 species